rnacentral:rRNA from 1 species
GGAUGAGCCCGCGGCCUAUCAGCUUGUUGGUGGGGUGAUGGCCUACCAAGGCGACGACGGGUAGCCGGCCUGAGAGGGUGUCCGGCCACACUGGGACUGAGAUACGGCCCAGACUCCUACGGGAGGCAGCAGUGGGGAAUAUUGCACAAUGGGCGCAAGCCUGAUGCAGCGACGCCGCGUGGGGGAUGACGGCCUUCGGGUUGUAAACCUCUUUCAGCACAGACGAAGCGCAAGUGACGGUAUGUGCAGAAGAAGCACCGGCCAACUACGUGCCAGCAGCCGCGGUAAUACGUAGGGUGCGAGCGUUGUCCGGAAUUACUGGGCGUAAAGAGCUCGUAGGUGGUUUGUCGCGUUGUUCGUGAAAACUCACAGCUUAACUGUGGGCGUGCGGGCGAUACGGGCAGACUAGAGUACUGCAGGGGAGACUGGAAUUCCUGGUGUAGCGGUGGAAUGCGCAGAUAUCAGGAGGAACACCGGUGGCGAAGGCGGGUCUCUGGGCAGUAACUGACGCUGAGGAGCGAAAGCGUGGGGAGCGAACAGGAUUAGAUACCCUGGUAGUCCACGCCGUAAACGGUGGGUACUAGGUGUGGGUUUCCUUCCUUGGGAUCCGUGCCGUAGCUAACGCAUUAAGUACCCCGCCUGGGGAGUACGGCCGCAAGGCUAAAACUCAAAGGAAUUGACGGGGGCCCGCACAAGCGGCG